rnacentral:sRNA from 2 species
GUAGAUGCUCAUUCACCCAUUUAUGACAGUCGAUCCAAGUCGCUUCAUAAGCUAUCGAAUGAUGCAGAGCCGAGUUAGGGUGUCUAUGGUCUGGCUUAUGAUGAUGACCUCAUCAAACAUCAGGCAUAACGUUGAGUGAGACACCACCAUGUUGUCCUUUGACCUGAUUUUUUUCUCACACUUGUCUUUUUAGGCAAGUGUUUUUUU